rnacentral:rRNA from 1 species
AUGAGAAUGAGGAAAUGGCCUGGGAAUCCCACUUGCUCUUUUUGCAAUGAGUUGGAAACCUCCAAACAUCUGUUCUUCACCUGUCCUGUGGCCAGGGUGGUCUGGAGAUGCGUUGGGAUGGUGCUGGGUACUGAAAUGUGCCCGAAUAGCUACUGGCAAUAUUUUGCUUGGUGUCAUGCUUUUGUCCCUGAUGGACAAAAGUACUAUACUGUGGGCCUGGCUGCUGCUUGCUGGGCCAUUUGGCUAGCUCGGAAUCGAGCUACUUUCGAAAAGAAGCUAAUCAAAACGCCCUUUGAAAUAGUUUUCUCCAUGUGUUCUUUUCUGUUGUAUUGGGCAGGGCUGCAGUAG